rnacentral:misc_RNA from 1 species
GAUGAAGAACGCAGCGAAAUGCGAUAAGUAAUGUGAAUUGCAGAAUUCAGUGAAUCAUCGAAUCUUUGAACGCACAUUGCGCCCGCCAGUAUUCUGGCGGGCAUGCCUGUUCGAGCGUCAUUUCAACCAUCAAGCCCCCGGCUUGUGUUGGGGACCUGCGGCUGCCCGCAGGCCCUGAAAACCAGUGGCGGGCUCGCUGUCACUCCGAGCGUAGUAGCAUAUAUCUCGCUCAGGGCGUGCUGCGGGUUCCGGCCGUUAAAAGCCUUUUUUUACCCAAGGUUGACCUCGGAUCAGGUAGGAAGACCCGCUGAACUUAAGAAUAUCAAUAAGCGGAGGA